GCGUUGCACAAAACAAUUUGCACAUGGUAUAAUGAUUCAUCAUAUGAUGAUCGUUUAAUUACACAUCCGAUAUGACAACAACGCCGUAUUUCUUUAAUUUGACAUUUUGACAAUUUUUGUGUCAUUGUCUUUGUGUCUUGUGUUCUGGUGGUAGUGUCUUGUGUUUUGGUUCUAAGUUCGAAGCAGGAUGUCGUCGAAACGGGUAAAUUAUACCCACAAUGAAAAGAAUAUAUUCCUUUCGGUGGUAGCGAAGUAAGUUUUUAUCAAAUUUGUUCUAGAGAAACCAACACCAAGAAUACACCAAGAGACUUCAACAUUUUACUAUUCCAAUUAAUUUUAUUCACUUUGUACUCGUUACCUCAGUUUUUUCCCAUUUUCCACUAAAAUAAGCUCAAUAUUUUCGACAUUUCAACUCCUUAAUCCUUGUCUCAUCCUUUAGAUAUAAAGAAGUUAUUGAAGAUAAAUGCACCAAGGCGUGGGCGGUGCAGAAAAAGGCAGUUGCGUGAGAAGCAAUUGUAGAAGAAUUUAAUUGCUUGGCUGAAUCAGGUACUAGGUCGGUCAAGCAAUUAAAAAUCUUUUACGAAAAUAUAAAGCGGGAAACUCGUAAAAGGGUGGCUCAGGAACACCAAGAGCAAUAUGAAGCCAGAGUAAAGGAGGGCGAAGCGAGGAAGGCCGCUGCUCACGACAAGAAAGAAAUAAUGAAGACUGGCGGAGGCAGUUCCACCUUGGAAAUGACCUCCGAACAAGAAAUACUCCUGGCCACAAUACGGGAACAAGUGGAGCCCCUAGAUAAUGCUUAUGACAGUGCGGCUGAAUAUUUC